rnacentral:tRNA from 1 species
GCGAAUGUGGCGAAAUUGGUAGACGCGCUGGAUUUAGGUUCCAGUAGGUAGCCCUGUGAGAGUUCGAGUCUCUCCAUUCGCACCA